ensembl:lncRNA AC095078.1
GAACCAGGAAGAAAAGGAAACCAAGUGAAAGAGGGAACUGCAGCACAAGCAGCACAAACCAGCACAACAUGCAAACCAGUAAAGAUCUUUCUACACAAUUGAAAGAGAAGAAGGAAUCACAGGAGAACGCCGUGUGCACAGGUCGGCCCUUCCCGAGAUCUGAGUUUGGUGACUGGGAUCUCUCCGGAUCUAGAAAUAAGCCACCUGGUUGUGGCCUACCAGACUGUUGUGUGAGUCUCAGGUCCUGUAACAAGAAGAGAAUACGCACACGGGAGCGCUUGGAUGUGCACAAAGAGUUUCACAACCUUGACUGCUCCUGU